rnacentral:misc_RNA from 1 species
GAUGGACUGAUAUAUGAUCCUCCAAAAAAUUGCAUACUUUAAUCUCCCCAGAUGAAAUAGACUUCAAAAAAUGUAUAGCCCAAUCCCUGUGCGCCGGGGUAGCCACUAGCCAGGCGAGUGAGUAAGAGAGCACAAGCAUAGAAGACGAAAGGAAAGGGAACGGAGCUGGCCCAAGUUCCUGUGCGUAAGUAAGCUUUAGCCAUCGAAGGAUCCCACUCAAUUGCUCUGUUUGCAUCAGCAACGGCCUCGGUUAGAUUGUUCAGUUUGAUAUGGGCCUGAGCACGAUCAGCGUAGAGCUGGCGUUGCUGGGGUUAAGGGCCAUGGCCUGCGUUAAGAUGUUGGCCGCCAGCUCGAAGUGAUCGUCGACGAAAGCCUCCUUGGCCUUCGUUCCGAGAUCGGACGCCAUUGGAGAUACAGAGAAGCUGUCGAUAGUAUAAUCUGCGAGACAACGGGUAGUCUAUGC